GCGCCGGUAGUGUAAUGGGGUAGAACAUUCCUGCCCGAUAAGCAGGAGGGGAGGGUUCGAGUCCUGCCCGACGCU
rfam:Heligmosomoides polygyrus genome assembly, scaffold: HPBE_scaffold0019301